UCCAGACUCCUACGGGAGGCAGCAGUGAGGAAUAUUGGUCAAUGGGCGGGAGCCUGAACCAGCCAUGCCGCGUGAAGGCGAGUGCCCUACGGGCGUUAAACUUCUUUUGUGCGGGAGCAAUAAGGGCCACGCGUGGCCCGAUGAGAGUACCGCACGAAUAAGCAUCGGCUAACUCCGUGCCAGCAGCCGCGGUAAUACGUAGGGUGCGAGCGUUAAUCGGAAUUACUGGGCGUAAAGGGUGUGCAGGCGGCUGAGUAAGACAGAUGUGAAAUCCCCGGGCUUAACCUGGGAACCGCAUAUGUGACUGCUUGGCUAGAGUGCGUCAGAGGGAGGUGGAAUUCCACGUGUAGCAGUGAAAUGCGUAGAUAUGUGGAAGAACACCGAUGGCGAAGGCAGCCUCCUGGGACGCAACUGACGCUCAUACACGAAAGCGUGGGGAGCAAACAGGAUUAGAUACCCGAGUA
rnacentral:rRNA from 1 species